rnacentral:rRNA from 1 species
UACGGGGGGGGCAAGCGUUGUUCGGAAUUACUGGGCGUAAAGGGCUCGUAGGCGGCCAACUAAGUCAGACGUGAAAUCCCCAGGCUCAACCUGGGAACUGCGUCUGAUACUGGAUGGCUUGAAUUCGGGAGAGGGAUGCAGAAUUCCAGGUGUAGCGGUGAAAUGCGUAGAUAUCGGAAGGAACAUCAGUGGCGAAGGCGACUUCCUGGACCAAUACUGACGCUCAGGUGCGAAAGCGUGGGGAGCAAACAGG